UGUUGACAAUUACUCCGGAAUCUCUGUAUUAAGUUGAUGAUACGUUUGAACCCUUUUUUCUGAUGACCGCUCUUGCACCCUC